rnacentral:rRNA from 1 species
GACGAACGCUGGCGGCGUGCUUAACACAUGCAAGUCGAACGGAAAGGCCCUGCUUUUGUGGGGUGCUCGAGUGGCGAACGGGUGAGUAACACGUGAGUAACCUGCCCUUGACUUUGGGAUAACUUCAGGAAACUGGGGCUAAUACCGGAUAGGAGCUCCUGCUGCAUGGUGGGGGGUGGAAAGUUUCGGCGGUUGGGGAAGGACUCGCGGCUUAUCAGCUUGUUGGUGGGGUAGUGGCUUACCAAGGCUUUGACGGGUAGCCGGCAUGGGAGGGUGACCGGCCACAUUGGGACUGCGAUACGGCCCAGACUCCUACGGGAGGCAGCAGUGGGGAAUAUUGCACAAUGGGCGGAAGCCUGAUGCAGCAGCGCCGCGUGCGGGAUGACGGCCUUCGGGUUGUAAACCGCUUUCGCCUGUGACGAAGCGUGAGUGACGGUAAUGGGUAAAGAAGCACCGGCUAACUACGUG